rnacentral:rRNA from 1 species
AGGAUGAACGCUGGCGGCGUGCCUAACACAUGCAAGUCGAACGUCCUGUCUCGCAAGAGGCAGGGAGUGGCGGACGGGUGAGUACCACGUGGGUCAUCUACCGUGAGGUGAGGAAUACCGGCGAGAAAUCGCCGACAAGACCGCAUAGGCUCGAUGCAAGUCGAGCAAAGCUCUUUCGAGAGAGGGAGCGCCACACGAGGAGCCUGCGCCCGAUUAGCUAGCUGGUGGAGUAACGGUUCACCAGGGCGACGAUCGGUAGCUGGUCUGAGAGGACGAUCAGCCACACUGGGAUUGAGAACGGCCCAGACUCCUACGGGGGGCAGCAGUGAGGAAUUUUCGUCAAUGGGGGCAACCCUGAACGAGCAACGCCGCGUGCAGGAGAAGGUUUCGGAUCGUAAACUGCUUUUCUCGGGAAGAGAAUGGACGGUACCCGAGGAAUCAGCCCGGCUAACUACGUGCCAGCAGCCGCGGU